AUGUGGGCACAUCCUCACCCCAUUUGUUUUCAGUUCAAGGGAGAUCAUGGGACCCCUGAUGCGCACUUGAGACCCACCCUAGUUAAAAAGUCCUACUUCCAUCUCUUUCAACCCUUCCAGGCCCUGGGGGUCCCAGGCCGAGUCAACAGCUCCGGCUACAUUGUGGUGAACUCCACGGCCAUGGACGCUCAGGUGCUGGUCACUGUGGAUGCCAGCACGCUACGGGGGCUGCUUGUCCUCAGUACCACCGAGAGCCAGCAGGAGGUGAACUUGCUGCUCACACACAACCUGCCUCAGCCCAACCCCUUGGCCCUCCCAGCCCAGAUCUUGCUGUACCUGACCAACGAGAGGCUCGGGCCCAGCUACAGACACACCCUGCGGGUCGGAGUGGAUGGCAAAGAGGUCUCUGCGGACGUUGACAGCAGCGGCGCUGGCUUUGAGAAUUCAGGACACGUCUCGUCGGGGUCCACGUCUCUUAACUACUCCGUGAGCUGCCAUCACCGCGAUGGGCGCCUGGAGUUCUCUGGUUGGAGCGAGCACAACAGCUGGGCCCUGCGGCAGGCGGGGUUCCCUGGAGAGGCCCGCCUGGGCGCCGAGCUGCAGAUGCAGAGUAAGGCGGCUGGACCCUGCCCGGGAGUGGGAGUCGGCCCCCCUACACUGACACCUGCCCGCCAGCCUCAGGCCCGGCGUGACUAGUUCCAGGACUAACCAGGAUGCCCUUGGCCUUGGAAUCUGACUCUUAAAGGAGUGGGUAUUCACUUCCCGGGGUGGUCAAGGGAACGUACCACAAAACGGGUGGCUUAAAACAACAGAAAUUUAUUCUCCCAACUUCUAAAGGCUGGAAGUCAGAAAUCAGGUGUGGUCAGGGCCAUGCUCCCUCCAGAGUCUUUAGGAUUCAACCCUUACUGGCCUCUGCCAGCUCCCGGUAGCCCCAGGCAUUCUUGCACUUACGGCUGUAUAAUCCUGGUCUCUGCCCCCGAGUCUCUGCCUUUCUUUCUGUAAGGAUGCUAGCCAUUGGAUUACGGCCCAUCCCAACCCAGCACCUCACCUUGGCUUGCUUUGUGGUUUAGUCGUUAAGUUGUGUCCGACUCUUGCGACCCCAUGGACUGUAUCCCACCAGGCUCUGUCCAUGGGAUUCUUCAGGCAAGAUGACUAGAAUGGGUUGCUACUUUCUUCUCCAGGGGAUCUUCCCGACCCAGGGACUGAAUCCGGGUCUCCUGCAUUGCAGGUGGAUUCUUUACCAACUGAGCCACCAAGCCUAUUUCCAAAUAAGGGCGCAUCCACAGGUCCUGGGAGUUAGGACUUCAAACAUAAUUUUUAAGGGGAAAUAGUUUAACCCAUACUGGAGGAAGAAGGGAAGGUAACAGUAAUAAGAGUGUUUUUGUUAUUGUUUGGUUUGGUUUUUUUUUUAAUGAGGAAUUUUAUUUUUAUUUGUUUAUUUGGCCACACUGGGUCUUAGCUGUGACACCUGGGAUCUUUAGUUGCAGCAUGCGAGCUCUUAGUUGCGGCAGGUGGGAUCUAGUUCCCUGACCAGGGAUCAAACCCAGGCUCCCUGCAUUGGGACUUGUGGAGUCUUAGCCCCUGGGCCACCAGAGAAGUCCCAAGAGCUGGCGUUGAUUGAGUGACUAUGUGUAUGUAAUCACUGAGGCAAGCUCUCAGUACAUGGCUCAGUGAGUCUGCUCGACAACCCCGUUCACACCAAGGGAAGCCUGAAGCCCCCAGUGGGGCCUCUGGGUCAUCAGACCCUCUGACCUCUCUCCUGGCCCCUGCUCAUUCCACUCCUUGAUAUUCUUCCAGCACGUGAGGCUUACUCCUGCCUCAGGACCUUUGCACAGGCUGUUCCCUCUGCCUGGAAUGCUCUUCCCCACAUGACUCCUUGUGGGAGAAACAAGGAGGCAGCCCCUCACCACCUGCUUCUCAAAUGUCAUCUCCUCAUUGAGGCCUUGCCUCUCCCCCUAUUUAUUUGCACCCCCACCUCCCUCCAGCUCUCCCCACCUCCCUCCAGCUCUCCCCACCUCCCUCCAGCUCUCCCCACCUCUCUCCCAGACUUUGUCUUUCUAACAAGCUGUGUAACCCACUUCUUAAAUAUUCUUAUUUCUCACUUCCCACCUUCCAUCCACCCCACACUCCACUCUUUGUUUGCAGAGUGGCAGAUAGUAGGUGAUCAGUUAAUCAUCUGUUGAGUGAAUGGGUAGCAGGGAGUGGUGAGUAGCACCAUCCCCAUUCUGCAGGGGGGGAACAGAAGCUCAGAGAGGUUGAGUCACUUGUCCCAUGCCACACAGCUGGCUCAUGAUGAAUCCAGGCAGCGUGACUCCAGAGCCAGCCUCUGAUCCAGCCCCGCCCGCCAUCCCGUGUGCAUUGCAGGUGGAUUCUUUACCAACUGAGCCACCAAGCCUAUUUCCAAAUAAGGGCGCAUCCACAGGUCCUGGGAGUUAGGACUUCAAACAUAAUUUUUAAGGGGAAAUAGUUUAACCCAUACUGGAGGAAGAAGGGAAGGUAACAGUAAUAAGAGUGUUUUUGUUAUUGUUUGGUUUGGUUUUUUUUUUAAUGAGGAAUUUUAUUUUUAUUUGUUUAUUUGGCCACACUGGGUCUUAGCUGUGACACCUGGGAUCUUUAGUUGCAGCAUGCGAGCUCUUAGUUGCGGCAGGUGGGAUCUAGUUCCCUGACCAGGGAUCAAACCCAGGCUCCCUGCAUUGGGACUUGUGGAGUCUUAGCCCCUGGGCCACCAGAGAAGUCCCAAGAGCUGGCGUUGAUUGAGUGACUAUGUGUAUGUAAUCACUGAGGCAAGCUCUCAGUACAUGGCUCAGUGAGUCUGCUCGACAACCCCGUUCACACCAAGGGAAGCCUGAAGCCCCCAGUGGGGCCUCUGGGUCAUCAGACCCUCUGACCUCUCUCCUGGCCCCUGCUCAUUCCACUCCUUGAUAUUCUUCCAGCACGUGAGGCUUACUCCUGCCUCAGGACCUUUGCACAGGCUGUUCCCUCUGCCUGGAAUGCUCUUCCCCACAUGACUCCUUGUGGGAGAAACAAGGAGGCAGCCCCUCACCACCUGCUUCUCAAAUGUCAUCUCCUCAUUGAGGCCUUGCCUCUCCCCCUAUUUAUUUGCACCCCCACCUCCCUCCAGCUCUCCCCACCUCCCUCCAGCUCUCCCCACCUCCCUCCAGCUCUCCCCACCUCUCUCCCAGACUUUGUCUUUCUAACAAGCUGUGUAACCCACUUCUUAAAUAUUCUUAUUUCUCACUUCCCACCUUCCAUCCACCCCACACUCCACUCUUUGUUUGCAGAGUGGCAGAUAGUAGGUGAUCAGUUAAUCAUCUGUUGAGUGAAUGGGUAGCAGGGAGUGGUGAGUAGCACCAUCCCCAUUCUGCAGGGGGGGAACAGAAGCUCAGAGAGGUUGAGUCACUUGUCCCAUGCCACACAGCUGGCUCAUGAUGAAUCCAGGCAGCGUGACUCCAGAGCCAGCCUCUGAUCCAGCCCCGCCCCGCCAUCCCGUGUGGAUGGCAGAGAUCAGGACCCCCGCAUGGCCCCACGUCUCCUGGAUGGUCCUCUUCUGGCCUCAGAAUCUUCCAUCCUUGGCUCUCAGCCUCCUGCAGGGUGAGCAGGCGCCUGGAUCAGACAGGGGACUGUCUCACAGACUGCUCUGAGGAAGGGUUUGUCGGGGCUGCGGUGGGCCAGUGAUGGGACAGGUGUCCCAGGAAUGAUUCCGCACGGCCCCAGUUCCUGGGCCAGGAGGCCUGGGGUGGGGUCUUCAGCCACGGUGGCCUCUCACCGCCCCCACUGCUGUCUCUCAGGGGGCGUGUUCUGCCCGUCAACAUUCUUGGUGUCCCCACAAUCAGGAACCUCCCCAGGCAUAAGGGGACUGAGUCCCCUUGGAUGUGUAUUUGCUCCCCACUCACGCCCCACACAUAGUAGGUGCACAUGGGUGAAUACUGCAUAAUGAAGGAAGGAGACAGACCCAUCGUGAGACCUACUAUGUGCCCAGUACGCAGAUGUGUUAUCUUAGUUAAUCUUGGCGAUGUCUCUUGAGGUGGGUAGCCUAUGCCCACUCUGUAGGUGAGGAAAUUGAGGCUCAGAGUUGCCAGCUUGUCCUUGUCUGCCAAGGAGGGCCCCCCAGGUGAUGGGGCUGAGCGAGAUCCCAGAAUCUUUCAUGGAGGAGUUUCUUCUGUCUGCUGAGCUGAGUUGUGGCCUAACUCAGAGGCAGGGGACUGGAAGAGAUGCCCGCACAUGCUGGGGGAGGGUGCAGACCCUUGCCUGGGCCAGGCAAGCUGCAGGUCAGUAUCAUUUGAUAUUGAUUUGAUAUUGUAUUAACCCUGGAGAAAAGCAUCAUUGAUUUGUUCACUCCCUCAUUAGGUUCUGGGCACUUGUGAUGUGUCUGGGGUGGUACUAAGUGCUGGGGUCACAGCAGGGAAGGAAAUAUAUAAAGGUCCUGCCCUCAUGGAGCUGACCUGGCGAGAGAGGAAGCAGGACGGGCUGGGAGGUACUUUAGAGGGGCAGUCAGGGGAGGCUGCUCGGAGGAGGUGUCAUAGCAGCAGUGAUUCCAAUGAGAAGGAGCUGGCCAAGCCAAGACUGAGGGAACCUCACGACAGAUGCUGUCACAGGGACUCAGAGGUGAAAGGCUCGCCCAGGUCAGUCUCACUGGUAUCCACAGGGUGCGACCCUAAACUGGAAAGGGAAAUGAACCCCAUUUCCCAGCAGCCUUUGCCACUCUCUGUCUCUAGAGACCCAGACGCAGGCCCGUGUGGUCCUCCAAGCUGGGGACGAUGGGAUCAGCAUGGACGCGGUAGCCCUGGUGGCCCAGCCAGUGAAUGGCCCCCUGGAGCUGGUGGUGAAUGUCAGCCACACGGCACCUCUUCUCCGGAGGCUGGGCCUGCCCUUUGCCAGCCAGGUGAGGCGUGGGUGGCCAGCCCAGGCAGGGGCAGACUCCCCUGCUAAUUCUGUCAACUCCCAUCCUGUUCCCAGGGGCAGAGGGCCACUGUGUGCACAGUUGAUGCGAAUGGUCUUGCCUUGUGUCUGUCCAGCACUUUACAGUUUGCAAAGGCUUUAUUAAUGAUGAUAAUUGUAACCAGUGGCCUCUGUGCUCCCCGCCGUGGGGCCGGUGUGGAUGGGCUCCUGCACCUGCGUUCCAGCUCCUGGUCCUGUGUCCUUUCCAUGCUUCUGCCUUUUAGUCAGAAUCAAAGCCCAGCUUGCAUUUGCACAGCACCUACUGCAUGCUUGGCACUGUUCUGAGGGUCCCAUAUGCACUGGCUCAUCUCCUAACACC
rnacentral:lncRNA from 1 species